CUGCAGCUCGAGUGGUGAUCAUUAUUAUUGGGCCUAAAACGUCCGUAGCCGGUUUAGUAAAUGCCUGGGUAAAUCGUGUAGCUUAACUAUACGAUUUCCGGGUAGACUGCUAAACUUGAGACCGGGAGAGGCUAGAGGUACUCCUGGGGUAGAGGUGAAAUUCUGUAAUCCUAGGGGGACCACCAGUGGCGAAGGCGUCUAGCUAGAACGGGUCUGACGGUGAGUGACGAAGCCCUGGGGCGCAAACCGGAUUAGAUACCCGAGUAGUCC
rnacentral:rRNA from 1 species